rnacentral:rRNA from 1 species
UACGUAGGGUGCAAGCGUUGUCCGGAAUUAUUGGGCGUAAAGAGCUCGUAGGCGGCUUGUCGCGUCGGCUGUGAAAACUCGGGGCUCAACCCCGAGCCUGCAGUCGAUACGGGCAGGCUAGAGUCCGGCAGGGGAGACUGGAAUUCCUGGUGUAGCGGUGAAAUGCGCAGAUAUCGGGAGGAACACCAAUGGCGAAGGCAGCUCGCUGGGACGGUACUGACGCUGAGGCGCGAAAGCGUGGGGAGCAAACAGG